GACGUAGGGCGCGAGCGUUGUCCGGAUUUAUUGGGCGUAAAGAGCUCGUAGGCGGCUUGUCGCGUCGACUGUGAAAACUUGGGGCUCAACCCCAAGCUUGCAGUCGAUACGGGCAGGCUAGAGUUCGGUAGGGGAGACUGGAAUUCCUGGUGUAGCGGUGAAAUGCGCAGAUAUCAGGAGGAACACCGGUGGCGAAGGCGGGUCUCUGGGCCGAUACUGACGCUGAGGAGCGAAAGCGUGGGGAGCGAACAGG
rnacentral:rRNA from 1 species